rnacentral:rRNA from 1 species
AUUGAACGCUGGCGGCAGGCUUAACACAUGCAAGUCGAGCGGGGUGAUGGUGCUUGCACUAUCACUUAGCGGCGGGCGGGUGAGUAAUGCUUAGGAAUCUGCCUAUUAGUGGGGGACAACAUCUCGAAAGGGAUGCUAAUACCGCAUACGUCCUACGGGAGAAAGCAGGGGAUCACUUGUGACCUUGCGCUAAUAGAUGAGCCUAGGUCGGAUUAGCUAGUUGGUGGGGUAAAGGCCUACCAAGGCGACGAUCUGUAGCGGGUCUGAGAGGAUGAUCCGCCACACUGGGACUGAGACACGGCCCAGACUCCUACGGGAGGCAGCAGUGGGGAAUAUUGGACAAUGGGGGGAACCCUGAUCCAGCCAUGCCGCGUGUGUGAAGAAGGCCUUAUGGUUGUAAAGCACUUUAAGCGAGGAGGAGGCUCUUUUGGUUAAUACCCAAGAUGAGUGGACGUUACUCGCAGAAUAAGCACCGGCUAACUCUGUGCCAGCAGCCGCAGUAA